UCGUGUUCUGCCCAGAUUGCGAAAACGGCCCGUUUACAACCGGGACAGCCGGAUUAUGUACGCAUGGUCCGAUUAUGUUUUUUUAGCCCUAAUUAUGUCGUGGUGACCGGUUUAUGAACGCUGAUAUAAUGGCAGGCAGGCUGUGAUUGGCAUUUCCUUCCGACUUUUGUAAAUGAAACAUUGACGAAUCUUUAUGUACGUGGGUAAGUUUAUUUUAUCGUUUUAAACACCUGUUAUUCCAAAGAACUAAUUUCAAAGCUGUGAACGUGGUAAUCUGAUAAAAAUGAAGGUUUUGAAUCUGAUAAAAAAUCUUCUAGAAGAUGUUUAAUAUAGCUAAGUUUUUCGCGCAAAUUAGGUAUGGGGUAAUGUAGCUAGCAUGAAACAUUAGUCAAAGAUACAUUUCUUCUCGAUAUAAAGCAGUAUUUACAAUAAAAAUAUGAACUAACAAAGGGUUUCACACUCGUUAUUUUAUGUUAAUUCUUCGUUGUUCUGAUAAAAUGUUUUCUUAUAAAAAGAGUGUAUAGUACGAUAAUUUUCUCUGCUUCACCUUUUUGAUAAAUGAUAAAACCAUGUUAAAGAACAUAAUAUGAAUAUAAACAAAGGUCUGGGGUAGCCAAGCUAGAUUCAGCCUUAGCAUAUUGAAAAAAUCUAUGUCUAAACCGAACAUAAAACGUGCUGUAUAUAUUCACAAUAUCAGCCAGAAUAUAUUCAAACAAUGGUUUUUCUCAAACCGUUAAACCAUCUCCUCUCUCGUUUUUUUUAUCUUUUUAGAAGCUGUUGUUCGUGGAGUCCAAUGUCGUUGGAGUGUUGACAAUGCUGUAAUAUAUGCAAGAACUAUUAAUAUAAAUAUAAAAAAACUGAGUAUGGACGUUACUAUUUCUUAUUGUCUUGUGAAUGGAAAAGCACCAUGUUGAUGGUUUUCAAGGUAUGGAGAAAAAGUCGAUGUCUUCAUCGUUAUCAAAGUUCGAAUCAGUGAUAACCUUCAACUGUUUUGAAACACUCGGUAUGAUUGUGGUUGAUGGUGGCUGUCCAAAUACCAGCUCGUACGGAGUAAAUCCUGUAGCGCUGUGUUGUUGUGUGUUGAUGGCAUCUAUUAAAAAAAUGAAAAAUAAGUAACGACAAUUCGAUCUGCAUUUCGGAACUAUUGUUAUCAACCUACAACAUAUUUGUGGCAACCACGAGCUCCAAGGUUUAGUUUCACUGGCACACUCAGCUAUCAUGACUGAUAUUUUAUGCUCCACAUUGAUAUGAGCCUGUUCUAUCAUGCCUUGACUCUGUGGAUGGCGAGGACGACCACGAACCACCUGAAUCUCCCCUGGCCAAGCUUCGAUAAGAUAAUCUACAGAUUUAUUUACAAAUUCUGAAUAUUUUAGUUCAGUUGUGUGCGAACUUACUUGGAAGCGUUUCAUGAAGCCAUUUGAUAUAAUAGGCUUGAUUGGCGGUACAGUCUUCUGUGGCUGUUUUAAGUGGCAAGUUUCGCAAAGAUUGAUAUACUCUUCAAUAGUCGAUCUUGGGAUACCCCAAAAUGAACUUGAAACCUUAGUAGGAAAAAUACGAAUUGAGUAGUUAUUUGUAUCAAUCUUUAUAUUUUGUCUAGGGUACAAUUUUUUAUGUAAAUAUAGUUAUUAAUUCUGAUAAGAAAACACUAAUACCUUUU